rfam:Hordeum vulgare subsp. vulgare, WGS project CAJW01000000 data, contig: morex_contig_2555068
UAAAAACCCUUCGUCCCAAAAUUCUUGUCUUAGAUUUGAAUGUAUCUAAUCAUGUUUUAGUAUUUAGAUACAUUCAUUUCUAGAUAAACCUAAGACAAGAGUUUUGGGACGGAGGAAGUAGUUA